GCCUCGGUGGUGUAGUGGUAGAGUGCGCAUCCACGGAUAGGAUAAAACGCGGGUUUGAUUCCCGGCUGAGGCC